CGAAUAAAUCAUGGAACAGGUGCUGCAAGAGCCGUAAGGCUGUUGCAAGCUUAAUAGGGAAGUCCGGUUAAAAUCCGGCACGGACCCGCCACUGUAAGAAGCGGUCUAAGUUUAUUUAGACCCGUGUGCCAGCUUAAGUCACUGAAUGCAAGAUUCGGGAAGACGCUGGCGCUACUGCUUCAAGUCAGGAGACCUGCCUGUUCGCAUAACGCUGU
rnacentral:ncRNA from 2 species